rnacentral:rRNA from 1 species
GAUGAACGCUGGCGGCGUGCCUAAUACAUGCAAGUCGAGCGAACAGACGAGGAGCUUGCUCCUUUGACGUUAGUGGCGGACGGGUGAGUAACACGUAGGUAACCUACCUAUAAGACUGGGAUAACUUCGGGAAACCGGAGCUAAUACCGGAUAAUAUUUCGAACCGCAUGGUUCGAUAGUGAAAGAUGGCUUUGCUAUCACUUAUAGAUGGACCUGCGCCGUAUUAGCUAGUUGGUAAGGUAACGGCUUACCAAGGCAACGAUACGUAGCCGACCUGAGAGGGUGAUCGGCCACACUGGAACUGAGACACGGUCCAGACUCCUACGGGAGGCAGCAGUAGGGAAUCUUCCGCAAUGGGCGAAAGCCUGACGGAGCAACGCCGCGUGAGUGAUGAAGGUCUUCGGAUCGUAAAACUCUGUUAUUAGGGAAGAACAAACGUGUAAGUAACUGUGCACGUCUUGACGGUACCUAAUCAGAAAGCCACGGCUAACUACGUG